rnacentral:rRNA from 1 species
UACGUAGGGUGCGAGCGUUAAUCGGAAUUACUGGGCGUAAAGCGUGCGCAGGCGGUUCGUUGUGUCGGUGGUGAAAGCCCCGGGCUUAACCUGGGAAUGGCCAUGGAAACUGGCGAACUGGAGUGUGGCAGAGGGGGUGGAAUUCCGCGUGUAGCAGUGAAAUGCGUAGAGAUGCGGAGGAACACCGAUGGCGAAGGCAGCCCCUGGGCUAACACUGACGCUCAGGCACGAAGCGUGGGAGCAACAGG